ensembl:lincRNA
CUCGAGCCGACGCGGGAGGUUUUUUUUUCUUUUUACCUAUUAUAUCUCCUUUUGAGCAUGUCAAAAACUCGAAAACCAAAAUAUUUUUAUUUGCCUUUCUUUUCUUCCCCAAUCAUGACCAAAGGGAACAAGAAAGGAUUCCUGUUUUUCAUGACAAUUCCUUCUUGGGUCUUCGGCAGGCAUAGUAGAUAUAACCCACGGGCAUGUUCUCAUCAUACAUUAUCAGUGAGGGGAGUGUAUCUUGCUCUCCGAUUUUCAUUGGAAUCAUGGAUGGGUCUUUGUCAGGACGUUCAGAUGAUGUUCAGGACUUUGGAGGGACAACAAGCAUGGAUUGGAAAUCUUACCUGGUGGAAUGGAACGAGGUUGUCGAGGUUAACAGCUCCACCGAUUGUGAUGUCUGUUCACUGAAUAUUUACUCUGAAUUCCCAUUUCUACCAAUACACACUCAUUUGAGGAACACGAAGAUGGAUGUUUCCUGCCAUGAGGCUCGGGCCGCGUUUCACGCUGUGCACUCUUUUCUGCCUCAAAAUCGAUGCACCCAAGCUCCGUGGGUUGCUCAGCCGAAGAUUCGAUCCAGCCACGUGAUGCCUAUCAGCGCAACACUGGGCUGCUUUAAGACUUCCAAUCCGCAGGAUAACACGGUCGUCAGACGCGUGUCCGGAAGCAAGAUCUCAAAGUGGUCGACUGUUGCGAUCGUUUUGAUGGUGACCCAUGGGGUUCGAGCCGGACAACUGGACCAUUCCGACUGCUGUAACAAUAUCAUAACAUUGGCAUAUCUUGCACUAUUGUGAGUAUCUCGUUCAAUGAUCGUUUUCGAAUGGCCCUCAUUCGUUGAUAGAACAUGAUGUAGAGCGAUUACGAAAAUACAGUAAUUUUAUGAAUAUGUAUAUGUAUAUAUAUAUAUAUAUAAAUUCAAAACACCUCUUACUUGACCAGUCAUGUAAUUAUGAUGCAAAUAAAUGCAAUGUAACAGUAAGGUAAGGUGAUACGAUGUGUUAUCCUACUCAGUCUGGAAGACCAGAAGAGAUCGAAAUUUAUGGUAAUUUGAUUAAAAUAAGGUGGCCAUAACUGUGUCGUCCAUUUUCCUGCUUUAUGCUUCUGCAAAAUUGUAUCAAGUUUUGAAUUUGAACGGACCUGUAAUAGGUACAGCAAAGUGCGUGCUGGCAUCUGGUGGUGUGUGAACAACAACAGGAUGCGUGGUUCGAGUCCAUGUCAAAUUUACUAAUGAAUUAUGAAAAAUUCGAGGAUUCCGUGUUGGAGAAAAUGAAUCAUGUUCAGUUUGGCCGUGCUUUCGUGAGAUGGCUGGAACCACAUCUCGUGAGCGAUCAUUAAAAGUAAUUCAUGUUCUUGCACUUUCCUGGGCAUUGACAGGAAGCUGUUAAGAGAAGGCCUAAUCCUGGCUCGCCGCUCCGGCUGUACCUCCAUCGAUCGCAGAGAGCACUCAUCCCACUGAAAUGGACUCCCGGAUGGGCAAUUACACACCCGAGGAAUCAUAGCCCACAGUGUCCUGUGAAAAAAAAAACAGAAGGAUCCUGUUGAUAUUCUGAUUUACCUCGUCCAUGUGGAGAGAAAAAGAACAACAACAUGCAACUUGGAACUGUUCCUCUGCAUAUCUACAAGGCUGUGACCUGGGACCUCAAGCUUCACGUCAGUUCAGCGAUGCACGUAACGUGAUGAUGUUGUGACGCAGACAUUGUGAAUUUGAACGAUUACCCAAAGCUAAACUCCUAAUCCAUCCAUCCAUUGGGACCAUACUCUGUGCAGAGCGUUGGUGCUGCUUCAGCAGUCUCCUUGGCUAUUGACACAAUCCUGGACGGGUCGCCACUCCGACACAGGAUACCAGCAAGUUGGCACUCAUUUUGCCGACCUCUGAAGGAUGACAGGCAGAGUCAACCACACCUGGUAUUAAUUCAACAGCCAAGUGGGAUUUUAACUCAGGAUCCUCAAAUCCCAAGCCCACCACCACCCUAACCAUAAAGCCAACACCAGGCAUAAACUGCACAUGGGCCACAGGUAACACCUUCGAGGCCACGAUUUUGUUGGUCUUGGUGGUGCGGCGGUUCUUCCAUUACCUGAGACAAGUGGAGACCCUGAAGGGUUGAUGAGAUCUCCUGAAUUUCUCGUCACAAAUAUCCCGCUCACAGAUACAGAUACAGCCUGUUUCUGCAACAGUAACUGAAUUCUGAAACUCCGGCAUUUUCGCGAGCUCGAUCGGAGUUUAAUUGGGAAGCAAGGAUAAUGAAAAGAUCAGGUGGACAUUUGUUAAAGUUCCACACAAAAUAUCUCAUGAAUGUUGAAAAGCUUAAUUUAUAAACGGAGUGCUCUACCCUUUCUGGGAAUAAUUUUCCAUGGAAAUAUCUGCCAGGAAUGAAAUGAUUCAAUGCCUAUGAUUCCACUGGAAAUUGUAUUUAUCUCAUUUAUUAAGCAAACUUUGUUGCAGGCACGGACGAUUGUGACUGAACUCAGCGACGCGUGUGUGUGUGUGUGUGUGUGUGUGUGUGUGUGUGUGUGUGUGUGUGUGUGUGUGUGUGUGUGUGUGUGUGUGUGUGUGUGUGUGUGUGUGUGUGUGUGUGCGUGUGUGUGUGUGCGUGCGUGCGUGUCCAGACUUACAGAUUUAGUGUUUUCUAUACAAAAGUUUGAGAUAAAAUUGCUUCUACAUUGUUCUUGGCUGUAGUGAUGUUAUACGACCUUGAUGUUCCUCCUCUGAAUACUUAUUAUGUAAUCAUAUUGCACACUCAUGUUGCUUUCAAAUUAAAUGUAGUGUGGAUUCCAUUCUCCUUUCGUAUUGUUGUUUAUUUGCAGGAGAUUGAGCAACGCGGUGUAUUUUGUUGUUGUGCAAUAUUGGCUGGAAGGAUGAUCGAGAGCUGCGCACACUCAUCAAUGAGUUGGUCCAGCCUGAGUUCGAAUCCCGACACAGCUAUAAACAGUCAUCUCGGUGUUUCGCAGGCAGGAUGAAUCAUCAUCAAUGGGUGUUCCCGAUUUUAUGUUCACCUGGG